GAAAUGCGAUAAGUAAUGUGAAUUGCAGAAUUCCGUGAAUCAUCGAAUCUUUGAACGCAUAUUGCGCCCUCUGGUAUUCCGGGGGGCAUGCCUGUCCGAGCGUCAUUGCGAACCCCUCAAGCACGGCUUGUGUGAUGGGCCCUCCCGCGUCUUGGUCGUCAAGACGGGCCCGAAAAGCAGUGGCGGCUUCGCGGUUAUCCGAUCAGCCAGAGCGUAUGGGGACUUUCUCUCUGUCACACACCCGCGGCGCGGACCGACGCCUGUCGACCUUUAUUCAUCUUUUUCUCGGUUGACCUCGGAUCAGGUAGGGAUACCCGCUGAACUUAAGC
rnacentral:misc_RNA from 1 species